GAUGAAGAACGUAGCGAAAUGCGAUACUUGGUGUGAAUUGCAGAAUCCCGUGAACCAUCGAGUCUUUGAACGCAAGUUGCGCCCGAAGCCAUCAGGUUGAGGGCACGUCUGCCUGGGCGUCACAUAUCGUUGCCCAAUGCCUAUUGCAGUGCAAUAGGAAUUUCUAGGGCGAAUGAUGGCUUCCCGUGAGCGUUGUUGCCUCGGGGUUGGUUGAAAAUCGAGUCCUUGGUAGGGUGUGCCAUGGUAGAUGGUGGUCGAGUUAGAACGAUACCGAUCAUGUGCAUGCUCCCCAAAAUAUGGCCUCUAUGACCCACACGCGUCUUUUGACGCUCAUGACGAGACCUCAGGUCAGGCGGGGCUACCCGCUGAAUUUAAGCAUAUCAAUAAGCGGAGGA
rnacentral:misc_RNA from 1 species